CCUACGGGAGGCAGCAGUAGGGAAUCUUCCACAAUGGGCGAAAGCCUGAUGGAGCAACGCCGCGUGGGUGAAGAAGGUCUUCGGAUCGUAAAACCCUGUUGUUAGAGAAGAAAGUGCGUGAGAGUAACUGUUCACGUUUCGACGGUAUCUAACCAGAAAGCCACGGCUAACUACGUGCCAGCAGCCGCGGUAAUACGUAGGUGGCAAGCGUUAUCCGGAUUUAUUGGGCGUAAAGGGAACGCAGGCGGUCUUUUAAGUCUGAUGUGAAAGCCUUCGGCUUAACCGGAGUAGUGCAUUGGAAACUGGGAGACGUGAGUGCAGAAGAGGAGAGUGGAACUCCAGGUGUAGCGGUGAAAUGCGUAGAUAUAUGGAAGAACACCAGUGGCGAAGGCGGCUCUCUGGUCUGUAACUGACGCUGAGGUUCGAAAGCGUGGGUAGCAAACAGGAUUAGAUACCCUGGUAGUC
rnacentral:rRNA from 1 species